UACAGAGGUCUCAAGCGUUGUUCGGAUUCAUUGGGCGUAAAGGGUGUGUAGGCGGCGCCGUAAGUCGGGUGUGAAAUUUCGGAGCUUAACUCCGAAACUGCAUUCGAUACUGCGGUGCUUGAGGACUGGAGAGGAGACUGGAAUUCAUGGUGUAGCAGUGAAAUGCGUAGAGAUCAUGAGGAAGACCAGUGGCGAAGGCGGGUCUCUGGACAGUUCCUGACACUGAGACGCGAAGGUCAGGGGAGCAAACGGG
rnacentral:rRNA from 1 species